UCGGACGAAGGCGGCGCUAGUGGAGCCCAAGAAGCAGGGCCUUGCCUUUGUGGUGGUAGAAAGAGAAGAUGGCUCCCGUUCUGGAGAAACAGCUCCCGGGCGCAGCCGGGGCAGGCGACAAUAACAACGAAGACGAAGAAGGACAAAACCUCUGGACUUCGAUACUGAGUGAAGUUUCAACUCGAUCGAGUUCAAAGUUGCCAUCGGGAAAAAACAUCCUGGUAUUUGGUGAGGAUGGAUCAGGAAAAACGACACUUGUGGCCAAACUUCAAGGAGCUGAUCACAGCAAGAAAGGGAGGGGACUGGAGUACCUGUACUUAAACGUCCAUGAUGAGGACAGAGAUGACCUUACUCGCUGUAACGUGUGGAUCCUGGAUGGAGACCUAUACCACAAAGGGCUGCUUAGGUUUGCUGUUUCAGCUCAGACACUACCUGACUGUCUAGCUGUCUUUGUUGCGGAUAUGUCACGGCCCUGGACCAUUAUGGAGUCACUGCAGAAGUGGGCCAGUGUGCUACGUGACCAUGUGGACAAGCUCAAGAUCCCACCUGAGGACAUGAGAGAAAUGGAACAGAAGAUGGUGAAAGCGUUCCAAGAGUAUGCAGAACCAGAGGAUGCCACCCCAUCAUCCCCACAGAGACGGGCCCCAACAGCAGGGGAAGACGAGGCCGUUGUACUACCACUUGGGGACAACACACUCACACACAACCUGGGCAUUCCAGUGCUAAUAGUUUGCACAAAGUGUGAUGCAGUCAGCGUACUAGAGAAGGAGCAUGACUACAGAGAGGAGCACUUCGAUUUCAUCCAGUCCCACAUCAGGCGAUUUUCCUUACAGUAUGGAGCUGGCCUGAUCUAUACAUCAGUCAAAGAGGAGAAGAACCUGGAUCUGCUUUACAAAUAUAUAGUACAUAAGAUGUAUGACUUCCAGUUCACCACACCUGCCUUAGUGGUGGAGAAGGAUGCAGUGUUCAUUCCAUCUGGGUGGGAUAAUGAGAAGAAAAUUGGGAUUUUGCACGAAAACAUCACAACCGUCAGACCCGAAGAUCCAUUUGAAGAUUUUAUCACAAAGCCUCCAGUACGAAAGCUGGUUCAUGACAAAGAGAUAAAUGCAGAGGAUGAGCAGGUAUUCCUGAUGAAGCAACAGUCUUUGUUAGCGAAGCAGCCAGCCACGCCAACAAGAGGAGCAACAGAGUCUCCAGGACGAACAGCCUCAGGGUCUCCUAGGCCCGCAGGUCGCGCCGGCCAAGCCACUGUGACUAGCAGCUCACCAAUGUCUGCUGUCAAAAAGCCUGACCCUAACAUGAAAGCUGGGGCUGCCAAUGAGGGAGUGCUGGCUAACUUCUUCAACAGCCUGUUGAGUAAAAAGACUGGAGCUCCAGGUAGCCCAGGAAGUGGAGCUGUUGGAGCUGGAGUACAAGGGUCGGCCAAGAAAACAGGUACAACCUCUUAUUCCCAUGCUCUCCCCUCUGAUCUUUCUUUUUAUGCACCUUCUUCUUUACAGGUUAGCAGUUGUCCUUUUAACAAAACAAUUAUGAAGCAAUAUUGUUGAUUUAUAGCACCCUGUGCAUUAAGAUCCAUCUCAGAGAAUGGACUGCAUGCACACUUAAGUCAAGACAAGAGGCGUUAAAAACAGGGCCUUUUGUUGAUGGAGGCUGUGGACCAUUUUGCUGUCUGGAGUUUUAUCUCUACAGCCUGAGAGAGACAGAGAGAGAAGGUUAAAACAGGAGAAAAAGAAAAGUUGUCCUCUUUGACUGAACUUCUGACACCUGAAGAAACUUGUGACAGGCCUGGCAGAAGCCGGGUUUGACUGAUGUCCAGGCAGAGUUGGACAGGAUGACUCGCAAACAAGACUCCAUGGUUUCAGCUAACAACAUACCACCGCCGACAGAGAACGAAGCGUGAAGGCAACAAAAACAGCUACAUCGUCCACUGCAAAUACUCUGGAAAAAAAUACAUGUACAUGUGAGCAUAAAAAAAUUGACCAAAUUCCCAAUGUCUAUAUCAGUCAGCACACAGUGGUUUCACCAAAAUGAGUUUCAGAUGCUAUCCGAUAUUUUGGUGUUCUGGUGAGAUGGGAAGAAAUGAUAAGUGCUGAAGGCUUGUCUUUAUUUCUGUCCUCUCUUCCGCUGUAAAUGUUAUUUUGUGAGGGGUGUUCGUUUUAUGGAAAUGCGUGCACACUCCCUGGCAGCCAGCCAGAUGUGCUGGGUUGCAGGUCCCCCAGUUUCUGGGGCAUAACACCAUCCUCGUGGGUUUAAUGAGUGGAAAUAUUACUGGUCCUGUGGCCUCUGGUUCAGCUUAUCUCAUGGAAGGAAUUUGGUUGCGAUUGGAAGGGUAUUUAAACUUUAAAUAUAUUCAUUGAAAAAAGUGAUUCAAAUACUUGCAAACAUGUAGUAUGUAAAAAAUGUUAGAUAUGAUACUGAUGUAUUUAUACAAAGUUCCUCCUUUUUAUUUUAUUUUGUGCACCAUUUAUCGGUUUAAGGAAACAUUCAUCUGUAUCACCUAACAUGUUAAAAUGCCACUGACGUCAUGACACUAAUAUGACAUGUCCAGAUAGCUGAUCGCAUAUCAUAUCAUUUCCCCUAAUCAUCUCGAAGGAUCCUGUAAAUAUAAAUACAAACAAAUCUAUUCAGGUUGACUCUGAUUUUGUAUAAAAUGCAAUUCUGUCCAAAUUCUGAAAAUAGCUACUUUGACUAAUUGAGACUGGUUGGGAUUUGACAGGUUUAGAGGUUGCAACAGAAUCGCUUCUUUAGCUACAGGUGUGUAUAUUUGGGGAGGGGGUUGGGCAGCAUCUUUCCUACUAUAACUCCUAAGUGCCUCGCACAGUUAGCUGUUUGUGUCAUAGUAGAGGUGCUUGUCUACAUAAGAGGAAAUGCACUGUAGCACAAUCGGUUAAAAGGUUUUUGUCCAUUUCUUGUCAUCCAAAUAAUUUAUUUUGUUUUACAUUUUUGUUAAUGUACAACAAGCCUGUGGUCUGUUAUUUUUCAGAAACAAGAUUUCUGUGGCUUAGUUGAUAGUGUUCAAUAGAGCAAUAGAUUGAAUGCCUUCAUACAAACUUUAAAGGCUGCUGAUAUUAAGAAGAAACCACAUGACGGAACAUUUGGGUGCCCCAAACGAACACCUACUGUGGUUGAAACCACUCGCUUUGCAGCCAAAAGACACACAAUGAUUUGUUGUGGUGUGAAUUAAAUUAGAUAUUGUAUACUUCAGUGUUUUACAGCACUGUCCUCCUUUGGUUUCACACAUUUUAUUCUCACUGUACUUCACAUGUCAGUUAAAACAUUCCCAGUUUCUACAUGAAGUAGCUGUAGAAACCCAUCUCUGUAGGAAACCUGUUUGUCCAGUUAGGUCUUUUUGUUCGCUCACUUUCAGUGCCCAUUUAAAAUUACAACCUUUGCCUUCAAUGUACAGCUAACAGUUUGUCACACUGGGCCCCCUGCCUUCACAGGAAUGCUCCUAAUUAAUUUGUGUGUCUUUAAGGGGUUGCUUAAUUGUCUUAUGUAAUUUCUCUUCUUUAAAAACAUAAAAAUAAAAACCAUUAUACUGUCCCAUAUCAAAUAAUCUGUAAUAGUAUUUAUGGUUUCAUGAAACCAUAAUCUAAUCAGAAUUAAAUAAGUGUACAUUAUCAUUCUUAAAUCUGUAUGCAAGGCCCUACUUAAUCCUAUGGAUAGUGUGUAAUCAGUAGCUUUCACAGAAUUAAUGGCAAGUGUCAAGAGAGCAGCUAUUUGCUAUUAAAAUAAUGGCAAAAAAGGAAAACUGGAGUGAAUUGGAACGUGGAACCAAAGAUGCAUAUUAGUCACUAUUUUCUGCUUUUAUGUCUGUUAUCAUCCAUAAGAUUAACCAGUGGCCAUUGUUUGUCCUACUCUUGCAUGGAGCCCUUGCAUUCCAAACUUCAGAUCUACCUAUGAACUCUUGUUUUGAGUAACACCUUAUAAAAAUGGUAGAAAUGCCUUACUCCACUCAACCAUAUCUGGGGUUUUCCAGAGUCAAAGGAGAAACAAAAUCCACAAUACAAUCAAGGUUCAACUUUUUUUUCUUUUGUUUUGCUCUGUAAGGGAAUAACCACAAGACCAUAUUGGUGUACAGUCUACUUUAUGCAUGAUUUGUUGUCAAAAUGAUGCUACACGUGUUCUGGAUUUACUUUUGAUCAAAAUGACACUCUUAUUAUUUUCGUUUUUUCCUAUUUUCUUGUGACUGGGUGGAAUGUGCACCUGAGGGUCUGUUGCCGAAGUGGAUGAAGCACAAUUUAAGAACAGCCAGGAUCAGUCCACAUGUUGAAAUAAGCACUUUUCCUUGGACACUUGUAUCAAUUCACUGUUGGUACAGUUAAAGAUAGAGAAUGCAUAUUUUUCUCUUUGCCUUGCCUUUUUUUUUUUAGAACAUUUAGUAAAUAACCUAGAAGUUAACCUACACAGUAAAACUUUUUAUUUAUCUGCAUUUGCUGCUUAAGUUAUGGAAAGUGCCCCUGGUGGUUUACUAUGGAAUAACCCCUUUCUGCUGGUGAUAUUGUUCAUUUAAUAUCAAUCCUCUAGAAACCAUUGUCCGUACACCUUCGCUAGGGAUGUUUUGGGGACAUCUUGAAGUAGAUAAACCAAAUAAAUGUCCAUUCAUUUUCAGGUUUUUUCCCUUUUUCCCCCAUGAAACAUCCCCUUGUAUGUGUUUACAUCCUACUUAGACAUGUUUUGUUUUUGUUGUUAGAUAUGGUUUUGCCCAUAGACACUUUUGUUUAAAGAAUUUCAAAAUGUCACCCUCGCCUGAUUGAUCACACUUAUAUUUCCUCUUAAACAUGGCCAUACUUGUUCAAAUUUGGCAUUUUAGCUGAGUGGAAUGAAGUGCUCUCAUGCUGCUUGGUUUGUAAAGAUUGGAUGUUGCUCUCAAGAUUGAGUAUUGAACGUAUGUUGUAACUUUUUUUACUCAAACGCCAGUUGAAAGCAACUGGCUCUUCUCAUCCUAACUGAAUUGCCUUCGACCACUAUCGACAGUCUACAUCUGUAUGAGACUUUGAGCUUCUGCUUCCAGUCCUUUUGUAUUCAGGAUAUCAAGACAUUGUAAGCACAUGGCCGGCUGCAUUUUUGUGUCCUGAAUUAAUUCAGAAGUUUGAUUGUAUGACUUUAACACAAUUCUGUAGCCUCUAAGCUGCCAUGUGGAUUCUAGCUUCUUACGCCGACAAAGUUAAGGAAAAUGUUUAUCAGACCCCUGGCUUCAAUAAAAUCAAGAAUCCAAA